rnacentral:rRNA from 1 species
UACGGAGGGGGCUAGCGUUAUUCGGAAUUACUGGGCGUAAAGCGCACGUAGGCGGCUUUGUAAGUAAGAGGUGAAAGCCCGGAGCUCAACUCCGGAACUGCCUUUUAGACUGCAUCGCUUGAAUCCAGGAGAGGUGAGUGGAAUUCCGAGUGUAGAGGUGAAAUUCGUAGAUAUUCGGAAGAACACCAGUGGCGAAGGCGGCUCACUGGACUGGUAUUGACGCUGAGGUGCGAAAGCGUGGGGAGCGAACAGG